rnacentral:rRNA from 1 species
CCACCGGCAGCUCUAGUGGUAGCAAUUUUUAUUGGGCCUAAAGCGUCCGUAGCCGGUUUAAUAAGUCUCUGGUGAAAUCCUGCAGCUUAACUGUGGGAAUUGCUGGAGAUACUAUUAGACUUGAGAUCGGGAGAGGUUAGAGGUACUCCCAGGGUAGAGGUGAAAUUCUGUAAUCCUGGGAGGACCGCCUGUUGCGAAGGCGUCUAACUGGAACGAUUCUGACGGUGAGGGACGAAAGUUAGGGGCGCGAACCGGAUUAGAUACCCGGGUAGUCCUAACUGUAAACGAUGCGGACUUGGUGUUGGGGUGGUUUUGAGCUGCUCCAGUGCCGAAGGGAAGCUGUUAAGUCCGCCGCCUGGGAAGUACGGUCGCAAGACUGAAACUUAAAGGAAUUGGCGGGG